rnacentral:pre_miRNA from 1 species
UUGCAGCCCCCAAGGAGCAGCCUUUGAAAUUGGGCGUUGGUUCUCCUUAAGAGACUGCAAGC